CUGGAGACAAGGAAACAAAAGACAUGAAGAUAAGGGGACAGGAAAGUUCAAAAAGGUGCUUUCUCUGGGGUUGUUGACCGGUCCAGGGUUUGACUCAUGUCAGCUGGAUUGACACCAGCUCCGGGGGGGUAUUCCAGAAAGCAGGUUCAACAAACUCUGAGUCUAUCCCUGAACUCUGAGUUGACUUACUCUGAGUCGGGAAACUCUGAAUAUCCGGUUCCAGAACAGCUGAUCUGAGUUAGUUCAAUCAACUCUGAGUAUGUUAACCUCGAGGUACGCGCGUGCACAACCACUAUAAAAAGCCAUCAUCAAUGGAGCCCCGAUACCACGAGUCACCAUGACAACUGAGAAAAAAAAAAAGAUCAACUUAUUUCAGUGCGAAGGAGUUGGAGAUCCUUUUGCUGGGCUACGGAGAAUAUGAGCACAUAUUUCGCCGCAAAUGCAACACAGCUGCAUUAGCGAAGGAGAGAGAGACCGCAUGGGAGAAAAUUGCUGCCUGAGUCAACGCGUGCAAUCCAACAGGAGAAAGGAGGACUUGGAAGCAGCUCAAAAUGAAACAUAAAAACAUCAUUCAAAAAGCCAACAGAAAGAAGGCAGAGGCCCGAAAAACAGGUGGAGGGCCACCUCCACCACCUCUGUCAGAGGCUGAGGAGCUGGCUCUCAGCCAAUACAGGGGUCGCCCUGUGGCUGAAGGCAUCCCCGGGGGAAGCUCAUCUGAACCUGUCACCCCCAUGCCCCCUGUCACAAGU